GUUCAAAUAAUGUAUCGUUAGAAAUCAACCCCCUUUUGGGGUUAAAACGGGGGAUGGUAGCUUGACUCACUCAUCAUGAAAUCUCCGAAACUAUAACAGUUACAAACUUGAAAUUUGGCAGGUAGGUUCCUUAUAGGGCGUAGACAUCCGUUAAUACCGAGUUUUAUGAAACUCGGCCCCUAAGGGGGUAAAACGGGAGUUGGAAGUUUG
rnacentral:misc_RNA from 1 species